AAGAGCCAGCCCCACGCCGGUCCGCCUCCCGCCCACGGUUCGGCCUCCCUCCCUCCUGGCUCGGCGCUCCUCCGCCCGAGUUCUCCAUCCCCUGGAUCCCGGGCUCGCGGGGGCGCGGAGAAGAGGAUCCAGGAAAGCCUUCCUUGGCCUCUUCACCUGCACGUCCUCCUUGCUGGAACCUAGCCUGGAAAAAUGGUGAGUUGAGCUCCCCAUGGGGGGCUCCCAUGGCUGUCAGUUCCUUCCAGAGGCAUGUAUGGGAGUGAAUGUGGGCCUGAAGAGAUCCUGGAACAUCGUACUGUCUGAUGGAUGGCAGGCCUUCAGCGUCACUGAGCUUUCACACCUGAAAACUAUUAAAGGUUAUUCUUUUAAUUCUUUAUGGUCGUUUGCACGCCUUCCUUAGAGAAACCUCUGAUUUUCACUUGUGAGACGCUCAGCUGAGCUUGUCAUACCCUAAAAGGUGAUUUCAGUUCUCUGAUGCCAAAGAACCUCUUCCACUGAUCAAAACACAGCUGCAGAGGCCUAUAUGAUCUGCUAAUGGGCACCCCAACUCUGGGGUAUGUCUGUCUGUACCUGGGAAAACAGAUAUAAUUAGGAUAACAGAUAUCAUAUGUAUAUGCAAAUGCAGCAGGUAAAAAUGACUAGAAAUGAGAUAGGGCUGGAGUUUGCCAAAUCCCAUCAGACCAGCUAUGCAGCUUAACCCGAUGCUAACACCAUCACCACCAGGCCUUCCCCAGUACCGGCUCUGGUGCCUUCGCUUCAUCUUCUUUUUGCCAACAUGCUGGAACCCUCAUGCAAAUUAUUUUAAUUUUAUUUUUUUUAGAGAUAGAGUGUCCCUCUGUUGCCCAGACUGAAGUGCAGUGACACAAUCACAGUUCACUGCAUCCUCAAACUCCUUGGUUCAAGUGAUCCUCUCACCUCAGCCUCCUGUGUAGCUGGGACUACAGGCCUGUACCACCAUGCUCAGCUAAUCUUUGAAUUUUUUUGUAGAGAUGAGAUCUUGCUGUGUUGCCCAGACUGGUCUCAAACCCCUGGCCUCAAGCAAUGCUUGCACCUCAGCCUCUCAAACUGCUGGGAUAACAGCUGUAAGCCACCACACCCAGCCUAUUUUUUUUUACUGUAACAGUAGGUCCCCAUAGAUUCCUGAAGAGGCUCUUUCAAGAGCUUCAGAUCUUAUGAAGCUGCAGGGGUCCUAGCAUCUGAGAAGCUAGUGGGGGAAAGAUGGAGAAAAGAGAGGGCUUCUUCAGUGUUUUUCCUUUAAUGAGGGUUUGGUCCCCACAGUGGCAGCAUUGGGACUGGGGAAGACCUGGUAGGUCAUUACCAAGCUCGAGUUGCCUUUUUCAAAGAGAACCGUCCCAUAAGGAUGGCCUGGAAGCUUCUUGUUUGGAGUCAGAAGCUCAGUCUAAAGUUCUACUUCUGCCUCUUCCUGGUGGUGUGCACUUAGGCAAGUGACUCACCUCUCUGUGUCUUGUGUUCUUCACCCUAAAAUGGGCAUGAUAACAAUACCUGCCUCAAAGGGCCUGGCAAGACAUCAGCUCUCAGAUGAUGUUUUCCUUCGUAAUAGGUACGUGGGCAGGUGAAGAGAGUCAAACAUCAGGCCCAGGGUUCUUACUCCACUGUAUCACUCCAUCUACCUACCAAUGGAUAAAUUACUUCACCUCUCUGAGCCUCAGUUUCUGCAUCCGUGAAGUGGGCUAAUAAUGGAUGGAUGUCAUAGUGCUAUGUAACAGUCAACAACAACAGACCACUAAACAGAAGCUAGUGAUGCAUGUGGAGUAACGAUGCCUGCAUUUGGGGGCAGUGCCAAGUCUGAUAAGAUUGAAGAGCAUCUCAUUUGUGAUGCUCUGUGUCUGAUAUGGGGUAAGGAAGUCCUCACCCCUAUUGGGUCUAUCAAAAAGGGCUGCAAAACUAUGCAGACAAACGAUCUGGAUACUGCCUUUACCAAGCUGCACAGCCAUUGAACAAAGGCAUCUAACUUCACCAAAGUAGGAGGGCCUGCAUGUGCAGAUCCAUCUUUGCUGUUGGGACUGGGGCCCAUACCUUGUUCCAUUCUGUAAGCUCUCACUGUGCUUGACACAGUGCCUAGUGUGUUAUAGAUACACAAUAAAUAUGUACUGAUUGAGGGAUGAAUGAAUGAAUGAAAUCUGCAUCCAUGGAUGAAUAGAUGGUCAAUUACAUUGUCAAUUUUCUACCCUGGGGGUGGAGUUAGAAAAAGCAGUCGGAAUCUUGGUCCUUUUGCUAAUGGUGGAAGAGGGCAAUACUUGUAGAGUGUGUGCUGUCAGAGCCAUGUUCAAAUCUCAGUAUUACCAUAUCUUAGCAGUGAACUUGGUCAAACUUCAGUUUGGAAAAAACAUGCUGACUUUCAGUUUCCUCAUCUGUAAAAUGAGGCUAAAAGUACCACCUUUGUUAUAAGGUUAUGGUGCAGAUGCUAUAAAUUUGUACUUGCCAGGGCCUGACAUGCUACUAAGUGGAAAGUGGGAGAAUGAGAGUGAAUCCCCUUCUUUCUUUCCCUCUUCACUACACAGAUUCCAAGGAUAUUGUUUUAUACCAGCCAAGUCCUAAGCGCUGGAAGUGGAUCUGAUCUUUUACCUAACUCCAGCAUUGAUGUUUUUUAUUCUGUUGAAGGCGUCAAUAUUUGUUCAAUAGUGUAAGUCUUAAAUAAGCAUCUAAAUGACAUAUUACAGAUGAUGAAAGUCAUUUCCGCACAGAAGAUUAUCUCACACGAUCAUGUUUCCUUCGUUAUCUGGGGCCUCUGUAGCUGGCAAAUCUCUGCAGCUACUUAAAUGAUGACAUUAGUCCUAAUGCCAUGUAAAAUGACUAGGUCCUCAGGGUAGGUUUAUUUUUAAUAGUGUAUGUCAGCAGCAAAUAGCUUGGAAGACCCCAGAGAAAAGAGCACAGCUCAGGCUCUCACUGAAGCGAUGAUAUAGAUAUAUUUAAUAUCUAUAUUAAAAAUCUUUUAGGCACCAUGGUGAUAUUGAACUGGAUAGUUAGGCGAGUGUUAGGGAAAAUCCUGGGCUGUUUAUAGAGUGUGAUACAGUGUGCAUUCUAGAAAUCUUUUGAGGUUCUUCAAAGUCAAAUUUGGGCAUCAAAAAUCUUUGACAGACAUUUGGCCCCAGUAGUAAAAUACUCUGAAACACAAGCUGGGAGUAUAAAAUCACUUCCUUUUCUCUUUUUUGGUAAGCCUGUUGAUAAGUUUGCUGUGCUAUUAAAAUGUUUAAUCACUUGCCUCCAGCAAGAGCAAGCUUCUGUCUGAAGUUACAAUUUAUUAGCGUGCCCAGAUCAUACUUGCUAUUUACCCAAAACAUGGCCAGGGGAUUCUUACAGAGAAAACAAACCACAAUUUGAAAUCAAGCAUAGAGUGGCAGAUGAAUGGAUUGAAGGCAAAAAUUAUUUUGGAGUUGAUUUCAGGGGAGAGAUGAUAAAAUCUGCACUAAUUUUCUAUCCCAAGGGCACAGGAUUAGAUAUACAGCGGCCACAGGUCUGGCCUGUGAGAUAUCCCAGGGUCAGUUGGUAAAAGUGGUGCCAGGCCUGUCCCAGGGAGGUCUCUGGAGAAGAGGCAGCAGAGGAAGGGGCUACUCUAGGAACAUACCUUCCAAGAAGAGGCAUUUGUCUCUGCUUUAGGGUUUGGUCAAAGAAGCUCAUCCUGGAAGGACAAUGAACAGAUAGAUGCCUGGUUUCAGCAGAAUGCUAAGCCCAAACCCCCCUCCCUCCUUCUCUUCUGUGGACCUCACCCUGGCCUUUCAGACUCAUCCAAAAGCAAACUGAAUUGUGGGGCAGGAAAAUGCCUUUAAGACGGUGAGCAUCAUUUAGUUAUGGUACCUGAAGCCCACCCGCUGGUGGCACAACACCAUGGACCUAGCCCUUGGAGUGGAGGGCCCCUUAGAGGGCCAUGGAUAAUUAACUCCUUCCAGGAACUGGUGUCCAGGACUAUGCCUUGGAGGGCACCCACAGAUAUUGAGCCUACCAUCAGGUCACAAUUUUCUAAAAACAGAUAUGUAAAGAUCUAAGAAGUUUCCUGUUUAUCAUCCUGUGUUUAUCUACACAAAAUGCUUUUUAAAUCUGGAUUAUUGUAUCCCAAACUGGGUUAUAAAGAAUAACAGAUAUUCUGGCAGAAAGGAAUACUAUGGCUUAAUCAAUUUGGGAACCACUGCAUCUCUUGAAUCACCAGAUACGAUGGCAGACUCUCCUGUGUCCUGAACUGAAAAACUAGCAAACGAAACUGGUUUCACUGUUUCCCCCAGCAUUUCUCCAAAUUGUUCAGCUAUGAACUGCUUUCUUCACAGAACAUCCAUCACCAUCUUACCUUUGUGGAAGGCAGUUGAAGAAUUGUUGGGUUACGAUAGGCAGAAUUCUAAAAAUGCCCUCGUCCCCACAAGAUUCUCCUCUUCUGUCCAUUCAGUCGAACAUUAACACAAAUACUGUUGAGAGGGAAUUUUGCAGAAGCAAGAAAAGCCCUAAGUAAAUCGACUUUAAAAUGUGGAGAGUAUCUGGGCAAACCUGGCCCAACCGGGUGACCUCUUAAUUGAAAGGGUGAGGAUUGGAUGCUCCUUCUGUGGCUUUGAAGAUGGAAGGAACCCUAUGAGAAGGAAUAUGGGCAGCCUAGAGGCAGAGACUAACCCCAACCCCCAGCUGACAGUGACAAAAUGGGGACAUCAGACCUGAAGCCACAGAAACCGAAUUCUGUCAACAACCAUAAAAAAUUGUAAGCAGAAGGCCCCCAGAUAAGAAUCCAGUUGGCUGACACCUUGAUGUUGGCCUUGUGAGACUCUGAGCAGAGUCCAGGUGAGCCUACCUGUACUUCUGACCUACAGAAUCUUGGGAUAUUAAAUGGGUAUCGUUUUAAGUUGCUAAAUUUGUGGUAAUUCAUUUCACAACAACAGAAAACUACUACAUACUGAUUCAGAGAAAUCAAAACGGAACUGGUAUCCUUUACAUUCGCAAGGUGAUUCAAAUGUAACACUCAUAUAUGGACAGAGCAGGUGUCUCUGUUUUUACAGGUGAAGAUAUAGACUCAGAGAGAUUAAGUUACUUGCCCAGGACACUUAGCCAGGAAAUGAGGAAAAGGGGACUUGAAUGGGCUUUUUUGUGUGUGUGAGUUAGGAUGGGGUGGGGGCGUGUUUCCUUUACUGUCUUUUGCAUUCAAAUAGGAAAAGGCAUUUGGAGAGACUGCAAUUGGGAACUUGCAAAGGAGGAUGAAAAAAAAGUUCAGGGAAGAACACAUCAAGCAAGGGGUUCAACUGCCUCAUCAGAGAGGUCCUUUCUUUCAUCUCUUGUGUCUGAGCAGAAAAGCUUGCUAGAAAAAGGACCCACAGCUGUGAGCCAGUGACAAUGUGUGGGGCCAGGGUCUGAUGAGGCCACCGGAAGUGGGCUGCUGGGAUGCUUUAUAUGUACAACUAAGGGCGAAGACAUGCAGGCCUGUAAUAUCAAGAGAAACAAUGUCUGCAGGCUGACCUCCCAGAUGGGUGGUUUGCAGAGGUGGGGCUGCCUGCAUAAUUAAUCAGCCCUGGCUUUCUUUGCCACAACUGGCAUUCCUACCUGUACCCGCAGCCCUUAAGGAGCCCUUCGCUCAGUGUCACAGAGCAGACAAGUCAUCUGGGAACAUCCCCCCCAACCUUCAUGGACAGAAGUGGAGACUGAAGCCCAGAAAAGGAACAGGACUUCUCAAGGUCACAGUCAAGGAUCCCCUAACACGGGACAAUUCUCUUGGUUAGUGAUGACUUCCUGCUGAGCCAGUAUUCCUUACUGAGCAAAUGCAGCGUGUGUGUGCCUGUGUGUGUGUGUGUGUUUUUGUGUCCAGGAUGAGACUCAGAACUGUGUGUUACCAUUGUCCUAAUAAUAAUAGAAGCCAAUACCCACAGAGUACAGAUCCAGUGCUUGGUGCUCUCUGGAAAGUGCCACGUGUUAACUUUAUUCUCACAGCAAGCUGAUGAGGUGGCUGGAAAAACAUUAGGGUUCUUCACAAAUGUUUCUGGCCAGAAGUGGAUCCAGGUAUGGCAGGGCUUAAAGCAUAUCCAAUUUGGGGGAACUUCUUGAAGGAAAGGAAUACCAAUUUAUAAAUAUAAAUUAGGCACAGGGCCCCAUGAAAGAAAAGGGCUUGGAAGCAUUACAGUAAGUCUGUUAGUUGCAUGUUAAUGUUCCCUGCCCCUUGUGAAGUUAGGCGAGAGCACGUGACUUGCUUUGGCCAAUGGGAUAUGAAUGAAAUUGAUAUGUGUCACCUCUGGGUGAAGUCUUAAGAGUUAGUGAGUGUUCACCACUUUCCUUCCCAACCCUGACUCCCACGGUCCCUGGGUUGACAAUGGAAGAGUGUGCCAAGAUGGAACUUGCUUUUCCCUGGAACUCUGAGCCUAUGAUAUCUAGAGCAACCUCUCUCUUCACCCUGCCCUGUGUCAACCAGCAUGAAACAUGGAGUAAGCUUUCCCAUCACCAUGCCCUGUGGGAUUCAGCAGGUUCUAGCUGAAUGUCAUUGAGCCAAAGAGAGAAGAGGCAGUCACCAAACAAACCUUCCUGGAAAUAGAGAUCUACCUGGAUCCAACGACGGCAAUUCCCUGAUAACUCCCCAAUGAGGCCAAGGCAACAGUUGGAGAUCUGUGUGUGCAAGCUUGGGGGUCAGAUCCUAGCUGCAGCAUGCAGCAGCUGUGUAACUUCAGGGGAACCCUGCACCUCCCUGAUUCUCAUUCACAGUGAUGAGUAGUAACCCCUUCCCCCAGGGAUUUGGGAGGACGUGCAGACUGUGCCUGCGAACUUGCCUGGCAUGUGAGACAGUCUUACUCUGUCACCCAGCCUGGAGUACAAUGGCACAAUCAUGGCUCACUGCAACGUAGAACCCCCAGGGAAUAAGGGAUCCUCCUACCUUGAUACACUUUUGGAAUCCAUUGUGAUGGGGUUACCUGGACUUGGGCAAGCCCCACAAACCCACUGGCUAUUCAUGAGCUCUAUCAAGUUACCACUUACUGCUUUUUCUGAAAAAGACUUGACUUUAGAGAGCAGUUUUAGGUUCACAGCAGAAUUGAACGGAAGUGUGAUGGGGGAGCUUUCGUAAGCACUGGAACAGGCAUCGAUGGAGGUUGCUGAACAUGAGUGGGUGUGGAAGGUGUUGGAAAGACCCUCCGAGGAGGAAGGCUUUUCUAACACUCAGCGACAACCAGAAAGCUCCCUCUUGCCUGGAAGCAAAAAGAAGAUUCCUCUGUGCGCCUGCUCAGCCGGGUCAGUGGGAUCCCCUCGAUUAAAGAAGAAGUCUUGAAGCUCUAGAAGAAUAAAAAGAUCCACACCAGCCGUACUGGACCUUGCUCAAGGCCAGAUGCCUAUUGCUUUAGACUCCCAUAGGUGCCUGGGGUGGUGUUGAGGGGGAAAGGAAGUAGGGAGUAGAGCAGAGCAGUUUCCAUUAAGCAGAAUUUGUUCUGAGCUUAAGCCAUCCCACCAAGGGGAAGAUGGGCCUUGAGGUGCCAGACAGUCUUUUCUCCCCAUAUAUUGAGUUGUUAUACCUUCCUACACCAGUGAAAUCUGACACUCUGGACACCUUGUGAAAUUGUUAUAUAAAACUAUGGUGAUGGUUUCUGUGAAUUAAAAAUAAACAA